CACUAGUGCGAUCAGGCAGUUCUGGUAAUGUUUUAUCAAUGAAGAAGACUACAAGGUUAACAGUGUACCAUGCUACAACAACGUCAACAGUGUAAUGCUUGCGGGAUGCGAUAAUCAAAAAACUUUGUGCAAUAACAGCUAACCAAGCACACUGUUUUAUAAACCUUCGUGUUCCAUAUUUCUGGUAUGUCCGCACAAAGACUAGGGAGAAUAUCAUGUGAGAUGAAAAUAUUAGAUCACCACAACCAUAAAGUACACCACGAGGAACAAUCAAUAGUGCUUGCAAAAUGUUGUCAGGCGGAGGAAGCGUGGCAAGCUUUGAACCCUCGCGACAGUGAUAGUUUGGACCAGGAAGCUGUGUAGAAUAGAACGUUAUGAUCCGAAGGAAUUGGCAACCAACUAAAAAUGCCAGGACCCUGCACCAUAUCAGAACUGUAUAGAUCUUUUUGGUCUUGAAAAUAAAAGGAUGGAACGUCCACAUGACGAAAGAUAGAAAGAUGGUGGUGAAUACAGUUUCACUUAUGUAAGCUCUAUCUUGUCCAAGCUCCGGAAGAAGAUAGAAGCCGACGUCCUGAAGAAUUGGUCCAGGCCGAUGAAAGUAAUGCACCCCUCUAGCAGCAAGUCCAUGGAUGUACUGACAAAUCAAACCACCAAGAAGAUAUUUCCAAUUUUCAGCAAGAAGAUUAAUCUCUAUUGUUGCCUCUGCACAAAUUCUCCUCCA
rnacentral:misc_RNA from 1 species